CAACUCUGGUCACUUCCGGACGAACUGAACGUUAUUGAUUGACAUUUGGCUUGCGAUCGAUUAAAAUUUUUUCGUGAAUGAAAGAUGAUCCAACGCAGCAUGACAACAUAGCUGAGAUAAGUAAGAAUUUAAUUGGGAUUCCGAUCGCUACCCCAUUUAGAAAGUACGAUCAGUGAUUCCGGGACAACGUAUCGCAAGUAGUAAUUUAAAUUUGCUUCCAAGCGUAAGGUUAAAUAUGUUUGCAAUUUGGAUUGGAAACCUCGAUGUCGCCGGUGAAAUUUGACACAACCAAUUAUUAUGAACACCUGACUGAACUUGAGUGUUUUACUUGCGCAUGCACCAUUUGUGUUUAGAUGGACGAGAAGUAAAGACGAGACGUGAGCUAGAAUAUAGAGGAGAUGAAACUAAUUACUGGAUUAAAUUUAGAUAUUUAACUAAAAGCAAUUUUCUGAUUUGGGGUAAUUCUAGCCUGUAACAGCUUAUAACCUUUUUUCUGUCGGUGAUUUUCAAACGAUAGGGUAAAAAAAUAUAGAGGGUGUCUGAUUUAAAAAGAGUACGUUUACCAAUGAUGAGAUCAGUGUGUAUAUACAUUUUUUCUCCCAAAGUAAUUUGAAUUGGGGUGGGCUUCGUUUCAGUUUCUGUAACUAAACAAAUAAAUUUUUGAUGGAAUUGAAUGAUUUAUUUUUGAUUAAACUCUUCCCCCCGCAUCUUCAUAAUUUUAAAAAGGAAUUAUUAAACAUCAGUGUCAGGCGGAUGCGGUAGCGGUAGGCUA